rnacentral:rRNA from 1 species
GGCACAUGAAAGAGAAUCUCAUCCUCCUCCCCUGAUGUUAUCCUGAACCCCGUGGGAGAAGCGGCAGCGACAGAACAGCCCUGCCUCUCGGCCCCAUUCACUCUCUCCGCCGGACGACGGCGGCGCCGGUGCUGUGCCGCGAGAUGUCCAACAAUGGUGUUGACUGCAAUGGGAUCCUUGGGGUUUACUGCUUCUCUCCAACCUCUGGAGUUGCAGGACUCCAUGAGUGUCGUCAAUGGCCAGAUGGGCGACGGCGGCGCGACCGCACAUCCACGAUUCCAUGGCAUCGCAGAUGACCAGAUGGGCCGCGGUGGCGAGGGCAUAGAGAUGUAUGGGAACACCGGCUUUUGCGGCGUGAUCAGAAGCUAUAAGCGGCUGGACAAGGAGAGUGGAGUUUCAUUGAGAGCUAACCUGCCAAUCGAGAGGCAUGCCAAUAAUGUUUACGUCCGGGUGACUUUUGAUCAAUUUAGCAAAGUUAUGUACAAAGCUGGUGCAUAUGUGCUGGAAGAACUAGAACUGAACAUAUGUUAGCAUUUGGAUUUUACAGUGUCCAAUUGCUAGUAAUGUACAUAUUUGCUGCAGGUUAAUUAGUUGGUCUAUAGUACGCGAUGGUAACUUGGUUAUCUGCUGCUGACUAAUUAUCUGAACAUUGUUAUGGUGUUGGCAGACUAUACCAGUGCGUAUACUAUCAUAGCUUUGGUUUAAACUACAAACUAUCCG